GACGAACCGUGCGAACGUUGUUCGGAAUCACUGGGCUUAAAGGGCGCGUAGGCGGGCCGCGAAGUCCGGGGUGAAAGCCCCCAGCUCAACUGGGGAAGUGCCUCGGAAACCAGCGGUCUUGAGGGAGCUAGGGGCCUGUGGAACUUCGGGUGGAGCGGUGAAAUGCGUUGAUAUCCGAAGGAACGCCGGUGGCGAAAGCGGCAGGCUGGAUCUCCUCUGACGCUGAGGCGCGAAAGCCAGGGUAGCGAACGGG
rnacentral:rRNA from 1 species